UACGUAGGGGGCAAGCGUUAUCCGGAUUUAUUGGGCGUAAAGAGCUCGUAGGCGGCCGUUCGCGUCGGAUGUGAAAGCUCAGGGCUCAACUCUGAGACGCCAUUCGAUACGGGACGGCUAGAGGUAGGUAGGGGAAAGUGGAAUUCCUGGUGUAGCGGUGAAAUGCGUAGAUAUCUGGAGGAACACCGGUGGCGAAGGCGGCAUCCUGGGCCAGUACUGACGCUGAGGAGCGAAAGCGUGGGGAGCAAACAGG
rnacentral:rRNA from 1 species